CUUUUUUUUUUUUUUUUUUUUUUUUUCUUUUGGUCUUUUUGCCUCUUCUAGGGCCACUCCCUGCGGCAUAUAGAGGUUCCCAGGAAUAAUAAUAGCACCUAUUUUACAUAUAUUGUGAUGAGUAAAUAGGUCAUAUGAAACACUUAAGACUUGGCAUAUAGGAAAAAAACCCAAAAUGUUAGCGGGAUAAAAUUUUCUUAAAUAACUCUUGUACAAGAGUCACUAUAAACCAGUGGUUCUCAACCAGGGACAGUUCUGUCCCCCAAGGGAUACUGGGGGCAAUUUCUGGAGACAUUUUGGAUUGUUGUGACUAGAGGGAUGCUACUGGCACCUAGUGGAUAGAGGUCAGGGAUGUCGCUAAACAUUCUACAAGGUACAGAACAGUCUCCACAACAAAGAAUUAUCUGAUGGGAAAUGUCAAUACUAGAUAGAGAAAUCUUGCUGUAAACAAAGUAACACAAUAAUCCACAUAUGGAAAGAAAAUAUAUAAAGUGCAUGUAAUCCACAUGGAAUUUCUAGUCCAAAAUGACAUAUCUUCUACAAAUCAAAAAGAAAAAUUAAAACCAAGAGGAAAAUGAGCAAAGAAUAAGAUCACAGCCAGUAAACAUGAAAAGAUCCUCACCCUACAGAAAAAUGCAAAGAUAGCAUUUUAAAACCAAUAAAAUGGCAAAAAUAAAAAAUUCUGACAAUAUCAAAUAUCGGUAAUACAAAAGAACAGAAAUCUACACUAUACACUGCAUAUGAAACGGUAAAUGAUAGUCAUAUACCAAAACAUAUAUAUGAAUGUAUGUACAUAUAUGUGCAUUUCUAUUCAUGCAUUAGGAUGAAUAGUGAUUAAUGACAGUAGUGAUCCCUAGAGAUGAAGGUAGGGGAGGAACUUAAUUACAUCUUAAAUUACUGUUCUGCUCUCCCAAAGCCGUAAAAUUUUAAAAUGAUUCCCAUUCACUGAUUGCCUUAUACUUAUCAGGCAAUGUGUAUGAUAUACUUUACAUCUUUUGUUCUUCACAACUCUAUGUCGUAGAUAUCAGUAGCUUCUUUUUAUAGACGAAUAAACUAUGCCUCUGAGACAUUAAAUAAUUUACUCAAGAUACACAGCCAGCUAGUGGCAGAGCUGGGAUUCAAAGGGCUUUCUAUUGCAAAGCCCAAUCCUGUCUCUCCAACAGCAGCACAAUAUGACCUAUGACAUAAUGUUUGACAAUAUUAGAGCAUUCUUGGAAAUAUUUCUGGUUUUCAUAAAAAUAUCUCAAGAUAAUUCUGGAAUGGGAAGAAGAAACUAGGAUGACAAAAUGCAGAGUAACUUAGGCAAAUGAAAGCUAUAGACAUCUCCAGAAAAACAUACACAUGAAAUUAUGCAUAUAAUUUCAGUGGUUCACUAAUGCCCUAGGAGCACCCACCAAAAGGCCUUUGGAUCCCAGGUUAAGAAUGUCUCUUCGGGUGCUGGGGGGGGGUAGGCCAUAUUCAAUUACAAUAUUUAAAGGACCAUCCAAAUUUCUUUGACCAGAGCUAUACUUUAUCGACUGUGUAAAUGUUCCAAACAUUGCUCAUGUUCAAAAUCUUUUGCUUUGCCUCAGUAAAAUCUACCAACAUUUUUACUAUAAUGAGCUCUUUGUUCCAGAACUGUAUAUAAGAGAAGUAAUAAAACUAGUUAUAUGAGGCUUGUAGAAUUAAAUUCAAUAGGACAUCUUGUGUGUAAAGAACAAGGAACAAUAGACAUUAGGUUUAAAAAAAGAUGCUGGAACUUUUCUACAUCCAGAAACAAUAACUAGUAAGUUCUAUCCCACCACUAUGUCCAUAUUUUCAAAAAUGCACAAGAUUCAACAUCUGUAGUUUUAAAAUAAGAAAGUGCCACACAACGCAUUAGCUUUUUUUUCAUGUGUGGUAGUCUUUCUCUUUAUAUGUCAUUCUCAUUUUGGAGUGAUAGUUCAUGUCUUUCCUACUCUCUAGUCUUCUUCAAUAUUCCCUUAUUCUGCCAUUUUUAUCUUUUAAGCAGGUGUAAAUGUACAAGUAUUUAGAUAUACAGAUUACAUGGUUUCUAUCAACCUUGCUAAUGUUGAACUAAUACGUUUUCUUCCCCUCAAUAAAUAUAUCUACACUGGUUAAUUAUCUUGUGGUUUUCAAUUGAGUGUUUUAUUACGAAUCUUUAGAUAGUAAAAGGAAACAAUGUCCACACUGUACCCUGAAUCUACCUAGCACACUGUCUCUUCAUUUAUUUUACAAACAUUAAUGUUCCUAUGAGCAGUAACUGUACUAUGUAGAGAAUGGUUUUAGUGGACACUCGUGAGAAGACUUCAAAAGUUACACAAAUGUUCUGCAACAUCCUAAUUUUUCUUAAUGAUUAAUAAAGCAUGUCAACGUUUUUAAAGCUAUUUAUAUUUUCAGCCUGGGUAACAACUGGGGAGAAACUACAACAUAAAAUGACUACUUGUAAGUUUGGCAAUUAAUAUUACCUUUCUAGGCCUUAAAAAAAGAAAAAAAGAUUUCCUAAAACUAAUAUACAGGAGUAUUCAAAUUUGUAGACUAUUCUUUAAGUAUCAUCUAGGUUUUGACCAUAGCCAUAAUUGAAUACAACUGUUUGUCCUAAAGAUUGUCCAUAUGCUUCAACUUUUUAUUUUCACCUAGAAAAAAGUCAGUGCACUGGAAAGACCAGAUUUAUUUUUAUCUACAAAAAAGCCAGUGUACUGGAAAGAAAAGAUUUUGAAAUUUGUAAAACCUAUAUUUGAAACCUGGUUCUGUAAACAAUCUAAGUGAUUUUUGCACAAGUCAUUUAAGUUGGCUCUCUGAACAUUUUUCCUUUGUAAAGCAAUGCAAAAAGGCCUACCUCAUAAUGUUGUUCCAAGGGUGAAAUGAGAUAAAACAUCUCCAUUACCUAACAGAGUACUUCGCAAAUAAAAGAUGCCCAAUCAAUAGAAGCUAUUCCCAGUUUCUCAGCUCUUGGAAAAUAAGAGCAUGUGUUUCCUUGAAUCCUCAGCAACACAAUAAUUAGUGUUAAUAGUGUUACACAUCACAGAAAGUCAAUGAAUCCCAGUGACCUCCUUAGGAGGAAGUUUCUAGCUUUUAGGCAAGAAACUUUUUUUUGUUUGUUUGAGGCAGCCCUAACUCCAGUGGGUGUAUUCAUAUAAUUUAUAUGAAAGUGUUUUAAUGAUUUUAAAAAUUCCUUUAAUAACGUUUCAAACAGCUUCCUAUGGUUCUCAGAAUACAAUUCAUACUCUUUACUGCCUUUACGGCCUGGUGAUCUAUUUAGUCCCAGCUUAUCUCCCCCACCGCCUAUUAAGGCAUUCUAGCCACACCUGCCCUCUAUCUAUCUGCUCAACUACUACCCUAAACUUAUUUCAGUCUCACAGCUUAUCUUCCACUAAUUGCCUCCCCCAUCUUCACAGGCUGGGCUACUUAAAAUACUAGGUUAAAACGUGGCCUCCUGAGAGUCCUUCCCUUGAUUACUCUGCCUCCCCAUUACCCUACUGUACCUUACUCAUAGAAUACCUCGUACCACGACGCCAAAUUCUUUUGUUUUCAGGUGAGCACAGAGACUGCGCAUUUUGCUUUCAGAAGGAUCCCCCGGGCCUACUACGGUGACUGGCAUAGAGAAAGCGAGUGACCCUGGGCUACAACUUCUCCCGAGGUCCACCUCCUGGCUCUUAGCUGCAGCCUGGGCCUCGCUAAGGUCUCCCAAAACACAGCCCCUUCCCGGGUGCUGAGAGCAAGCAACCCUUUUCCCCCGAGAGGACUCCUGCAGUUGGGUCACGGCCACGGCGGGGCUCUGGACUCUUGGACAGCAGGGACUGGGGCGCAGAGAACUCGUGUGGCCACAGCUGUUCGAGGCUUGGGGAUGGGCUUGGGGAACGUGCGCGUGAGCCGCCAACCCGGCGAAGCCCGCACGGCGGACCUGAUUGGACUGGAGAGCGGGGCAGAACCCGGUGGCGUCUGCCUCCCCGACCCGAGUAAUUAUCACGGACUUGGGAAGUGAGGUAUCUGGCAAGAAGGUGGGCCUCCUCUCAAAAGCAGCGAGAGAAGGUUCAGUUUUCCCGGAAACGACCUCCAGGGAACUGACUGGAAAACUCACCAGAGUGCGUAGACUGCAAAGCGACGGCGAGAAAACCCGACUGUAAGGAGGAGCAGCCGUCAGAAGAGCGACAGCGCGCCGAGCUCGCGCAGCCGCAGAGGAGGCCUCGCGCACCU
ensembl:lncRNA